rnacentral:misc_RNA from 1 species
GCUUUCCUGAAGCUGAAAAAUCAUCUUGCCCUUUAUCUUCCAUUGAUAUGGAAACUGAAGUAUUAAUUGUACUUGCACAUGUUUGUUUACUGUUUUCAUCAAUACCUGAACUUCCCUCACUUGCUGGCAUAUCUACAAGUUCAUGGGCAACAUCAGGAUCAACCUCACCCAAACUUCUAUCAACAGUACAAAUCUCUUGAAAUUCAGUAGGAUCAUCCCCUUGAGGUUGUUGCUCCCCUCUUAUGUCCUCAUUAACAACAUGCAAUUCCUCAAGACUUAUAUUUGAUAGCAAUGUAGGCUGUAAAU